UGCAAGUCGAACGAUGAAGCCCUUCGGGGUGGAUUAGUGGCGAACGGGUGAGUAACACGUGGGCAAUCUGCCCUUCACUCUGGGACAAGCCUUGGAAACGAGGUCUAAUACCGGAUAACACUCCCAUUCUCCUGGAUGGGGGUUAAAAGCUCCGGCGGUGAAGGAUGAGCCCGCGGCCUAUCAGCUUGUUGGUGAGGUAAUGGCUCACCAAGGCGACGACGGGUAGCCGGCCUGAGAGGGCGACCGGCCACACUGGGACUGAGACACGGCCCAGACUCCUACGGGAGGCAGCAGUGGGGAAUAUUGCACAAUGGGCGAAAGCCUGAUGCAGCGACGCCGCGUGAGGGAUGACGGCCUUCGGGUUGUAAACCUCUUUCAGCAGGGAAGAAGCGAAAGUGACGGUACCUGCAGAAGAAGCGCCGGCUAACUACGUGCCAGCAGCCGCGGUAAUACGUAGGGCGCAAGCGUUGUCCGGAAUUAUUGGGCGUAAAGAGCUCGUAGGCGGCUUGUCACGUCGAUUGUGAAAGCUCGGGGCUUAACCCCGAGUCUGCAGUCGAUACGGGCUAGCUAGAGUGUGGUAGGGGAGAUCGGAAUUCCUGGUGUAGCGGUGAAAUGCGCAGAUAUCAGGAGGAACACCGGUGGCGAAGGCGGAUCUCUGGGCCAUUACUGACGCUGAGGAGCGAAAGCGUGGGGAGCGAACAGGAUUAGAUACCCUGGUAGUCCACGCCGU
rnacentral:rRNA from 1 species